rnacentral:rRNA from 1 species
CCUACGGGAGGCAGCAGUGAGGAAUAUUGGUCAAUGGACGAGAGUCUGAACCAGCCAAGUAGCGUGAAGGAUGACUGCCCUAUGGGUUGUAAACUUCUUUUAUAUGGGAAUAAAAUGUUCCACGUGUGGGAUUUUGUAUGUACCAUAUGAAUAAGGAUCGGCUAACUCCGUGCCAGCAGCCGCGGUAAUACGGAGGAUCCGAGCGUUAUCCGGAUUUAUUGGGUUUAAAGGGAGCGUCGUUGGGUUGUUAAGUCAGUUGUGAAAGUUUGCGGCUCAACCGUAAAAUUGCAGUUGAAACUGGCAGUCUUGAGUACAGUAGAGGUGGGCGGAAUUCGUGGUGUAGCGGUGAAAUGCUUAGAUAUCACGAAGAACUCCGAUUGCGAAGGCAGUUCACUGGACUGCAACUGACACUGAGGCUCGAAAGUGUGGGUAUCAAACAGGAUUAGAUACCCGUGUAGUC